GUAUUUUUUUAAUAAAUUUAGCAGACACGCUACCUCACGAACGUGUCGGCUUAAAAAUAUAGUCUAUAAAGCCUGGUUUCUAUCAUUUCGUAUGGCUGUUAACGUGUCAUAACAGUGUCACAAAUCUCGCAGAAAUAAACUGUGACAACUCUGACUGGGCUUACACUCGUGGGUAAGCACGUCCGCGUCACCAAUUCGCGUUGUAGAUCUUAAGCGCCCAACACUUUAAUAUUUUGCGUUGUACCAAAUGUACAUAGAUUUUUUCGUUGGUUAAAUCGACUCAAAAUUGUCCAAAUAUACACUAUAUUAUCAAACUAUGAGUAUUAAGCUGUUAUGAGGAGCGAUUUGGAUACUUUUGGGAAAAAUAAUGGCAAAAAGAAAUUUUUAGAGAGUUUUACCUGGGAAUGGUCCACGACUUUCGCUCAUGAUGGCCUCGGUCCUUACCACUAUAUCAUGAUGUCAACGAUGGAAGCAGGUACCAAAUUACACGACUUCAAUAUUUUGCGUUGUGCCAGAUGUAUGUAGAUUUUUUCGUUGGUUAAAUCGAUUCAAAAUUGUCCAAAUAUACAAUAUAUUAUCAAAAUAUGACUAUUAAGCUGUUAUGAGGAGCGAUUUGGUGACUAAAUAAUGGGAAAAAUAAUGGUAAAAAGAAAUAAAGAAAAAAUUAUACAAAAAGGUACGGAAAUUUUACCUGGGAAUGGUCACUAGAUUCGCUCAUGAUGGCCUGAGGCCCCCUUUACACGAGCCCAGGUCGAUUUUCAACCCGGGUGAGCACGCCACAGGUGG